UACGUAGGGACCAAGCGUUAUCCGGAUUUACUGGGCGUAAAGCGCGUUCAGGCGGUUUGGCAAGUCGGGCAUGAAAUCUCUCGGCUCAACCGGGAGAGGUUGUCCGAUACUGCUGGACUUGAGGGCAGUAGAGGGUGGUGGAAUUCCGGGUGUAGUGGUGAAAUGCGUAGAUAUCCGGAGGAACACCAGUGGCGAAAGCGGCCACCUGGACUGCACCUGACGCUGACACGCGAAAGCUAGGGGAGCGAACGGG
rnacentral:rRNA from 1 species